GACGGAGGGUGCAAGCGUUGCUCGGAAUCAUUGGGCGUAAAGGGUGCGUAGGCGGCUUGGUAAGUCGGGUGUGAAAGCCCUGGGCUCAGCCCGGGAAGGGCACUCGAAACUGCCGAGCUGGAGUGCCGGAGGGGAGAGUGGAAUUCCUGGUGUAGCGGUGAAAUGCGUAGAGAUCAGGAGGAAUACCGGUGGCGAAAGCGACUCUCUGGACGGCAACUGACGCUGAGGCACGAAAGCGUGGGGAGCAAACAGG
rnacentral:rRNA from 1 species